UCUCUCUCUCUCUCUCUCUCUCUCUCUUGUUGGGUAUUUGUGGGAAGUGGUGGGCCUUUUCACCCUAUAGAAAUUGAAAUCCAUGAUCAACUGCACUUCAUGGAUCCAUCUUCAACUCAAUCUAAUCCCUCUAUUGAAGAAGAUGAAUGGGUUGCAGUGGAUAGAAAGAAUGGAAGCAAGCUGAUGGCCUUCCCACAACUAUCCUCGCGAGAGAGAGGGAGUAAAGAUUCCUUAAUUACAAUGUAUUGCAUAAAGGUGGAGUUUAAAUUCCAAUUUUUGAUACUCAUUCAAAUUUGUUGUACUGCUCAAGUUGUUUAUAUUCUCAAACUUAAUUCUCAGAAGUGAUCCUUGCUUUCAAAAUUUGUCAGAUUUGAAGGUCUUAUUCUAUGAGGAAAAGUUGGGUUAUUUUGAAUUUGCAAAGGAAAUAACUAUAAGUUUUUUUUU